rnacentral:lncRNA from 1 species
GUGUUCGUGAUGCCUCAUCUGGGAAGGUUCUUCUGUAAACCUCACGUAGCUGUGAAGCAGUAACUGCAAGCUGUUUUGAGAAGUGACUUUUGCCACAUCCUGAAGAUUUGCCGUAUCUGUGGUAUUAUUUCAGCCGUGCCAGGUGAGAUAUCCACGUUUCCCCUGGUGAGUCAGUGCUUUGCAUGGUACAAGUUUCCUGUGGCCUGUUGGGACUGGGAGCAGUUUGACAGGGCUGGCUGUCAAAUAAAGCUUUGGAAAUGAAUGACUCCACAAAGGACCUUCUGAAACCUGGUAUUACAUUUUGGAAAACUUGUGAAAAAGAACUGUGGGUAUUUGACAGCUUUGUGUCCUGAGGUAGGGUAUGACUCUAGAAGCAAAGCAUUCCAUCAGAAAUGUCUGUCUCUUUGAUGUUGUUUUAAAUAUUUAACCUCCAAGGGAGGGAAUUUCUUUAUUGCAAGUGUUAGUUUUAGUGGUUUUAGCUGUGAAGUAUGGUGGUGUAAGUAAUGUUGCGUAGUUAGUUUGGGGAACGUUAAAUUCCCCUGUAAUUAAUAGCAUAGAGAAAUAAGAUUUUUAGAGCAAGGACAAGACUUAGUCUUGAAGUCAUUAAAUAAAGGGAGAUUUGAUUUAACCA